AAAAUUAUGCAUUUUUAUGCUUAAAAAAAUGAAUUUAAUGUAUGUUUGCUCUCAAAAUUUAUUGUUUUGCCCUAUAUUACUAUUUAUGUCUAUUUCUUAUGCUUAACAAGUGCGUGAAAUGUACCUAACAAGUGUCCGGCCCAUAUUUAUUUUGUACCACUAGUGUGUGACACACAUGUAUUGAGCUAACAAAUGUCCGAAACAUGAAUCAGUGUCUUUGCUCAAAUUGUAGUGUCUGUGCUUCUUAGCAUCUUUAAACUGUCGAUGAUAUAAUCAUUUCUAUUGAAAAUGAGGGAAAAAGUUCUUAUCUGAGAAGAGGAAUGAGGAAGAAGUGAAUGAAACUAGAUGCCAAUUUCUUCAAGCAACUAUUAGAUCCCCAUUUUCUUAGCUGCUGAUAUUUACUCGUUCAUCCUCUAAAAUCUUAACAUUCUGCUUUUCCAUCCUUGAAAGAAUCUUAAUUCUGAAGCCGAUGCUCAAGCAAACUUGGCUAUCACUCUUGCUGAUGGCGAAGUCCUGGAGUAUGAAGAAUAGUUAGAAUGCACGGCAGAAUAUAUCUUACACAUUAGCACAUUUUUCUGACGAAUGCAUAUUUAUACGCCAAUCCGUUGUAUGCUACUAUUCCUUUCCCAAGGUUGUCGAGAUCUUUGGGUGUUGACCGUAACUCGUCCAACUGGAAUUCAAGUUGUGACCUUGCUGCAAUGCAGAAGUGCAGUUUACUGCAUAUCUGAGAUAAAAACUCUUCUGGUUGUUGUGUGAUUCAAUUUCAAUUGAAAGAUUAUCACUGAAAUGUUGUAUUAAUUUUGUUUACAUAUUGAAAAAAUAGUAGUCUUUGAGCAGAUAUGCUUUGUAUUCUUUGUGGAACCUGUGGAAGAAGCACAGUUCAAUACCAAUUUUGGGAAGGCUUUAGGAAAGUGAGUUCAAAGUUCAUUUGAGGAUGAGUUUUUAGGAAAUGUGUAAUAAUGUUGUCGCAUACUCAUGAAAUUUAAUUCCUUUUAUAGUUUGAGUAUUAAAUUUAAAUUAUUUGAUACA